CUAUCAAUAAUAAUGUGAAAGCAAUUGUAUUGUCUUUACUUUAAUUAAAGUCGAAUGAUAAUUGUUUUUGUUACAAUUCUGUUAUACAGGAAAAGUGAUUUAAUAUUGUGCUCAUAUUUAUGCUAGUAGUUUUAGAUCUGUAAACAUUAGUUAUCCUCCAAGAUCCAAGCAUAGUUUUACAAUAACAAACAAAUGCAUCAUUAUUUUAAUAGAUUAUUGUGUAAAUUUUAUUCAAAAAUUGCUUUGGUUGGUUCAGCUAAUAUCAAUGAGUAACAAUAAAAAUAGCAGACAAAAGUCGCAACUCCGUAAACGCCUUCGUCAAAGUGGUGAAAUUACUUCAGGAUCAGCCAAGGAUAAACCAAUACAAUUUCUGUUGGUGAAUAACAGAAAUACAACAAAGCAAGUAAUUGUACGCAUAGUGUUUGGUAAAUAUACAGCAGCUGGUAUCACACAUAAGGAAGCUUUAGUUGAUGGGCAGUGUUUGAGAGUUCAUGUAAAACCCAUAGAGGAAAAGAUAAUAAAGAAGCUACUGCAGAAAAAACCACCGGUCCAGUUGAAACAAUCACAUUUGAAGAGAGGUAGGAAACAACUUGGGUUGUCUGAGAGAUUAAAAUCUAGGAUACAAUCGAAAUCAUUACAAAGAAAAAGAAAAAACGGUCAAAGAGUGUCACUUAGGAACACAAGAAAUU